rnacentral:misc_RNA from 1 species
AAGUCGUAACAAGGUAAUCGUAGGUGAACCUGCGGUUGGAUCAUUCAAAUAUGCGGGGCACACGAAGUGUGUCACGCCGUAUCACUGUCCAUCUCUUGCUCACAUGCGAGAGAGAGACACGCACACCAAAACACAAACCAGAAAUACAAGUGGCAUCAUUUGCAUGCCCACUCACACCCAAACACACUUGCAAUAACAAUAACAAAAAUGAAAAACAAAAACAACUUUUGACAAUGGAUCUCUUGGUUCUC